UACGGAGGGUGCAAGCGUUGUUCGGAAUUACUGGGCGUAAAGGGUGUCUAGGCGGUCUGGUAAGUCGGGUGUGAAAUCCCUUGGCUCAACCAAGGAAGGGCAUUCGAUACUGCUAGACUGGAGUGCGGGAGAGGAGAGCGGAAUUCCCAGUGUAGAAGUGAAAUUCGUAGAUAUUGGGAGGAACACCGGUGGCGAAAGCGGCUCUCUGGCCCAGCACUGACGCUCAAACACGAAAGCGUGGGUAG
rnacentral:rRNA from 1 species